UUAAAAGACCUAUUAAUAGGUAUGCUUAGGGAGGAGCUUGCGUCACAUUAGUUAGUUGGUGGGGUAAAGGCCUACCAAGACUAUGAUGUGUAGCCGGGCUGAGAGGUUGAACGGCCACAUUGGGACUGAGACACGGCCCAAACUCCUACGGGAGGCAGCAGUAGGGAAUUUUCGGCAAUGGAGGAAACUCUGACCGAGCAACGCCGCGUGAACGAUGAAGUAUUUCGGUACGUAAAGUUCUUUUAUUAGGGAAGAAUAAAUGAUGGAAAAAUCAUUCUGACGGUACCUAAUGAAUAAGCCCCGGCUAACUAUGUGCCAGCAGCCGCGGUAAUACAUAGGGGGCAAGCGUUAUCCGGAAUUAUUGGGCGUAAAGGGUGCGUAGGCUGUUAAAUAAGUUUAUGGUCUAAGUGCAAUGCUCAACAUUGUGAUGCUAUAAAAACUGUUUAGCUAGAGUAAGAUAGAGGCAAGUGGAAUUCCAUGUGUAGUGGUAAAAUGCGUAAAUAUAUGGAGGAACACCAGUAGCGAAGGCGGCUUGCUGGGUCUUUACUGACGCUGAGGCACGAAAGCGUGGGGAGCAAACAGGAUUAGAUACCCUGGUAGUCCACGCCGUAAACGAUGAGUACUAAACGUUGGGUAAAACCAGUGUUGAAGUUAACACAUUAAGUACUCCGCCUGAGUAGUACGUACGCAAGUAUGAAACUUAAAGGAAUUGACGGGACUCCGCACAAGCGGUGGAUCAUGUUGUUUAAUUCGAAGGUACCCGAAAAACCUCACCAGGUCUUGACAUGCUUCUGCAAAGCUGUAGAAACACAGUGGAGGUUAUCAGUUGCACAGGUGGUGCAUGGUUGUCGUCAGCUCGUGUCGUGAGAUGUUGGGUUAAGUCCCGCAACGAGCGCAACCCUUAUUGUUAGUUGCCAGCACGUAAUGGUGGGGACUUUAGCAAGACUGCCAGUGAUAAAUUGGAGGAAGGUGGGGACGACGUCAAAUCAUCAUGCCCCUUAUGACCUGGGCUACAA
rnacentral:rRNA from 1 species